CGAACUAAAAAUGAUUAAUUUAGUAACAUUAUUACUAACAAUUAACAUUUACCUAUAAAAACAUUUUCUAACCCCUUUCUCUUUCGCGCGUCUUCAAUCUGAAGUGCACCGCCUCCAUUCACAGUGAAAGCUCGGCCCCUAAGUAUUCUCGCUUCCGCCGUCAUUUUCGUCGCACCUCCAAACAAUGGAGCACCACCGUCGCUCAUCGGAGCUCCACUUUGCUCCCUGAUCGACGCUCACAAAGGCUCCAGGGAGGAGAAAUUGAGAAAUCGAGGACUCUCAUAUUCACCUGUGAAUCACGUCUGAGACAGAGAGGCCUAAGAUGGGUUAGUCUUCAAUCUUGGCAUCUUUAUAUGCAUGCAGUGUUAAGGAAUGCAUCGAAGUCUUGGGAUACAGAUCUCAAAGCAGGUUUGCUCAGCUACUUUGAUACCUGGCUCCUGGAGCAGUUUGCAUUCAUUCAAUGUGUAGGAAUUUAAAGGGUCAUGGCAUUGUAGAAUCGCAAAUACUCACUCUGCAUCCAGGAAUGAAGGUUGGGAUGUUGAAAGAAGGUGCCAACAAACCCUCGGCAAGGCAACACAAUUAUAUAUACCCACAUGAUAAGUUAUUAAAUAAGCGAAAGCAAGGGGAAAAUAGAGAAGAAAACUUGGCGAAAGCUAUUAAGGGUGACAAGGAUGCCAUGGACACUCAUCUUGGUGGAGCAGGAAUUGAUAUUGAGAGAAAGCCUUGAGUCAAAAUCUUUACCAAGCAAACAGCCACCAACUGGUUCCAAGAAAUCUGGUUCAAGGGGUGAGGUAGGUUUCAAAAACUUGGCUAUGAAUCUAGAUAUAAUUUAGCACCGUCUUGAAAUUGUGUAGUUAGAACUAGGCUUAAUAGCACUUUUGGUCCCUCACGUUAGCUAUAUGUGCGAAAACCGUCCCCUAAGUAAGAAAAUAGCAAAAAACGUCCUCACUUUGUCAAACGGCAGCACUUUUGGUCCCUCCUCACUAUUCCGUCAAAAUACUAACGUUUUCUGUCAAAUAUUAAACGGUUUUCUCAGAAAAAUUAAUAAAAAAUGAAAACCCAGAAAAUUUAUGAUGCUCUUCAUCAUAGUCAGUAUGUUCUUCAUCUUCUUCAGUUAUUUUUCAGAAAAAUAACAAACCCAUCAUCAACAACAGGCCACCAAAACAGUCCCCCUCAAUCUUUCCCCUCCAUCAUAAGAAAAAAAUCAUGUUGUUGCUCAAUUCAGGACUGAGAACAGGGAGAAUUUAGGAGGUGCUUUAAAUCAACCACUCACAAUUUCUCAGGUGGCUGCCAUCGCUGCACAAGAUCAAGAUGAACAACAUGAACAAUGACACUGACAGUUACGGCGUCACCACCGGCUUCGGUGCCACCUCCCAUCUCAGAACGGAAAAUGGCAAUACUUUUGAAACCCUUUUCAUCUGAGCAGCGGGCUCGUUGACGGCAGAGGCGCGAUGAAGAUGUUGGUUUCAGAUUUGAUGCAAACCGAGUUAAUUGCACGAUAAAGAGGGAACUGAAAUGUAGAUGCUAACCGAGUUGAUUUUUGAAUGAAACUGCAGAAAUUUCAUAUCUGACUCUCACCCACACGACAAACAAAAUCCCUAAUUUUCCGAUGCCUGAAUCGGUGAAAUUUCAGAUCUGGCUCUCUCCUCGACUUGCUUCUUUCUCGAUCUCAUCCUCC